ensembl:scaRNA SCARNA7 small Cajal body-specific RNA 7
CGGAAAUGAUGAAAUAGAGAUAAUUGGGUGUUGAAUGUUGUAUGACUGGAAAUUUUUAAUAUGUAUGUUAUGUAAUUCUUAUAAGUUUAGUGUUUUAUAGGUACUUAAUAGAGUAUAGUGUGUAUGCAUGCGUGUGUGCUUGUGGUGGCUAUGGAAAGGGGGCACUGACUGGUGAUGCUGAUAUUGGAGUGCAUCUGAGGCCGUUGUAGAAAUAACAUGGGUUGUUGAUUACAACAUUGCCAGUGAUUAUAACCCAAGAACAGCUCACCUAACUAGCCCGGCACCCUAAAAUCUCUAACAGGUUCAUUAAAAUGGUCCUGUGAUCUGAUCCAA